AGUGAACGCUGGCGGUAGGCCUAACACAUGCAAGUCGAACGGCAGCACAGUAAGAGCUUGCUCUUACGGGUGGCGAGUGGCGGACGGGUGAGGAAUACAUCGGAAUCUACUUUUUCGUGGGGGAUAACGUAGGGAAACUUACGCUGAUACCGCAUACGACCUACGGGUGAAAGCAGGGGAUCUUCGGACCUUGCGCGAUUGAAUGAGCCGAUGUCGGAUUAGCUAGUUGGCGGGGUAAAGGCCCACCAAGGCGACGAUCCGUAGCUGGUCUGAGAGGAUGAUCAGCCACACUGGAACUGAGACACGGUCCAGACUCCUACGGGAGGCAGCAGUGGGGAAUAUUGGACAAUGGGCGCAAGCCUGAUCCAGCCAUACCGCGUGGGUGAUGAAGGCCUUCGGGUUGUAAAGCCCUUUUGUUGGGAAAGAAAAGCAGCAGGUUAAUACCCCGCUGUUCUGACGGUACCCAAAGAAUAAGCACCGGCUAACUUCGUG
rnacentral:rRNA from 1 species